rnacentral:rRNA from 1 species
AUACGGAGGGUGCAAGCGUUACUUGGAAUCACUGGGCGUAAAGCGUACGUAGGCGGUUGGUUAAGUUAGAUGUGAAAGCCCCGGGCUUAACCUGGGAACUGCAUUUAAAACUGGCGAACUAGAGUUGAGUAGGGGGAGUGGAAUUUCAGGUGUAGCGGUGAAAUGCGUAGAGAUCUGAAGGAACACCAGUGGCGAAGGCGACUCCCUGGACUCGAACUGACGCUGAGGUACGAAAGCGUGGGUAGCAAACGGGAUUAGAUACCCCUGUAGUCC